rnacentral:rRNA from 1 species
UACGUGGGGUGCGAGCGUUAAUCGGAAUUACUGGGCGUAAAGCGUGCGCAGGCGGCGCGUUAAGACAGGUGUGAAAGCCCCGAGCUUAACUUGGGAAUUGCGCUUGUGACUGGCGUGCUGGAGUGUGGCAGAGGGAGGUGGAAUUCCACGUGUAGCAGUGAAAUGCGUAGAGAUGUGGAGGAACACCGAUGGCGAAGGCAGCCUCCUGGGCCAGCACUGACGCUCAUGCACGAAAGCGUGGGGAGCAAACAGG